rnacentral:lncRNA from 1 species
CAUUCCCUCUGGCUUUUUCUCCAAAGCCAAAUCCAGCUCCUGCUGAAUCAACAGAUCCUCCAACCUUGUCCUCUACAUUGAGAAGUUUUUCUUUCUGUCAAACUUCUCAAAAUCGAUCUUCAUCCCGCUACUCAUGAUGUCACAAAACGACAACCACAAACAAUACAGAUUUGUUUGAAAAAAAAUACCUUGAGCAGAAAACUUCAACUCCUGG